AUUGAACGCUGGCGGCAGGCCUAACACAUGCAAGUCGAACGAGUGGCGGACGGGUGUGUAAUGUCUGGGACACUGCCCGAUGGUGGGGGAUAACUACUGGAAACGGUAGCUAAUACCGCAUACCAUCGGAUGUGCCCAUGUGGGAUUAGCUAGUAGGUGGGGUAAUGGCUCACCUGGGCGACGAUCCCUGGCUGGUUUGCCAGGAUGACCAGCCACACUGGAACGUAGACACGGUCCAGACGCCUACGGGAGGCAGCAGUGGGGAAUAUUGGAAAAUGGGCGCAAGCCUGAUGGAGCCAUGCCGCGUGGAUGAAGAAGGCCUUCGGGUUGUAAAGUACUUUCAGCGAGGAGGCGUUACUCGCAGAAGAAGCGCCGGCUAACUCCGUGCCAGCAGCCGCGGUAAUAC
rnacentral:rRNA from 1 species